rnacentral:rRNA from 1 species
CAAUAGCGUAUAUUAAAGUUGUUGCAGUUAAAAAGCUCGUAGUUGGAUUUCGGGGCAGCCUGGCUGGUCCGCCGCAAGGCGAGUACUGGUCAGCCGCCCUUCCUCUCGAAAGCCCCGACUGCUCUUCGUUGCAGUGGUCGGGUAGUUCGGGACGUUUACUUUGAAAAAAUUAGAGUGUUCAAGGCAGGCCUACGCCUGAAUACAUUAGCAUGGAAUAAUGGAAGAGGACCUCGGUCCUAUUUUGUUAGUUUCCAGGGCCGAAGUAAUGAUUAAGAGGGACAGUUGGGGGCAUUCGUAUUUAAUUGUCAGAGGUGAAAUUCUCGGAUUUAUGAAAGACGAACAACUGCGAAAGCAUUUGCCAAGGAUGUUUUCAUUAA